GUGAGGUGGAGUCACCUCGCUGACUACCAGGGACCAUUCUGCUGCUCUGGCUGGCUAGCCUUCCUCACACCUCCGUGUGUGUCUAUCCCAAAGCCACAGGCUCAUCAAGGGAGGUGGUAUCCCCUGAGGGAGAAGACUGUUACUUCUUACAGGACAUACAAGUAGCUGUGCAGCCCUCCAACAAGCUUGCAAGAAUCAAUGAGGGGAUGAUAUAUAUUUCUAAGGACAAAAAAGAGACAGGGUAGUCUC
rfam:Felis catus isolate Cinnamon breed Abyssinian chromosome C1, whole genome shotgun sequence.